GACGAACGCUGGCGGCGUGCUUAACACAUGCAAGUCGAACGGAAAGGCCCUGCUUUUGUGGGGUGCUUGAGUGGCGAACGGGUGAGUAACACGUGAGUAACCUGCCCUUGACUUUGGGAUAACUUCAGGAAACUGGGGCUAAUACCGGAUAGGAGCUCCUGCUGCAUGGUGGGGGUUGGAAAGUUUCGGCGGUUGGGGCUGGACUCGCGGCUUAUCCGCUUGUUGGUGAGGUAGUGGCUUACCAAGGCUUUGACGGGUAGCCGGCCUGAGAGGGUGACCGGCCACAUUGGGACUGAGAUACGGACCAGACUCGUACGGGAGGCAGCAGUGGGGAAUAUUGCACAGUGGGCGGAAGCCUGAUGCAGCAACGCCGCGUGCGGGAUGACGGCCUUCGAGUUGUAAACCGCUUUCGCCUGUGACGAAGCGUGAGUGACGGUAAUGGGUAAAGAAGCACCGGCUAACUACGUG
rnacentral:rRNA from 1 species